UAAGGAAUAUUGGACAAUGGAGGCAACUCUGAUCCAGCCAUGCCGCGUGAAGGAAUAAGGCCCUAUGGGUUGUAAACUUCUUUUAGACGGGACAAAACCCCUUUACGUGUAAAGGGUUGAUGGUACUGUCAGAAUAAGCAUCGGCUAACUUCGUGCCAGCAGCCGCGGUAAUACGAAGGAUGCAAGCGUUAUCCGGAAUUAUUGGGUUUAAAGGGUGCGUAGGCGGACUAAUAAGUCAGUGGUGAAAGCCUGCAGCUUAACUGCAGAAUUGCCAUUGAUACUGUUAGUCUUGAGUACAGUUGGGGUAGGCGGAAUGUGUCAUGUAGCGGUGAAAUGCUUAGAUAUGACACAGAACACCGAUUGCGAAGGCAGCUUGCUAAGCUGUAACUGACGCUGAGGCACGAAAGCGUGGGGAGCAAACA
rnacentral:rRNA from 1 species